UACGUAGGGUGCGAGCGUUGUCCGGAAUUAUUGGGCGUAAAGGGCUCGUAGGCGGUUUGUCGCGUCGGGAGUGAAAACACCGGGCUUAACUCGGUGCUUGCUUUCGAUACGGGCAGACUAGAGGUAUUCAGGGGAGAACGGAAUUCCUGGUGUAGCGGUGAAAUGCGCAGAUAUCAGGAGGAACACCGGUGGCGAAGGCGGUUCUCUGGGAAUAUCCUGACGCUGAGGGACGAAAGCUAGGGGAGCGAAUGGG
rnacentral:rRNA from 1 species